rnacentral:rRNA from 1 species
UACAGAGGGUGCGAGCGUUGUUCGGAAUUAUUGGGCGUAAAGCGCGUGUAGGCGGCAAUUUAAGUCGGGUGUGAAAGCCCUCAGCUCAACUGAGGAAGAGCGCCCGAGACUGAAUUGCUUGAGUGCCGGAGAGGGUGGCGGAAUUCCCCAAGUAGAGGUGAAAUUCGUAGAGAUGGGGAGGAACACCGGAGGCGAAGGCGGCCACCUGGACGGUAACUGACGCUGAGACGCGAAAGCGUGGGGAGCAAACAGG